rnacentral:rRNA from 1 species
GAUGAACGCUAGCGGCAGGCUUAAUACAUGCAAGUCGAGGGGCAGCAUGAUUGUAGCAAUACAAUUGAUGGCGACCGGCAAACGGGUGCGGAACACGUACACAACCUCCCAAUAAGUGGGGAAUAGCCCAGAGAAAUUUGGAUUAAUACCCCGUAACAUAACGAUGUGGCAUCACAUUGUUAUUAUAGAUUUUUCGCUUAUUGAUGGGUGUGCGGCUGAUUAGAUAGUUGGCGGGGUAACGGCCCACCAAGUCUACGAUCAGUAGCUGAUGUGAGAGCAUGAUCAGCCACACGGGCACUGAGACACGGGCCCGACUCCUACGGGAGGCAGCAGUAAGGAAUAUUGGACAAUGGACGCAAGUCUGAUCCAGCCAUGCCGCGUGAAGGAUUAAGGUCCUCUGGAUUGUAAACUUCUUUUAUAAGGGACGAAAAAAGGCUUUUCUAAGUCGUCUGACGGUACCUUAUGAAUAAGCACCGGCUAACUCCGUGCCAGCUGCCGCUGUAAAAC